AUAUCAAUAAGCGGAGGAAAAGAAACCAACAGGGAUUGCCUUAGUAACGGCGAGUGAAGCGGCAAAAGCUCAAAUUUGAAAUCUGGCACCUUCGGUGUCCGAGUUGUAAUUUGAAGAAGGUAACUUUGGAGUCAGCUCUUGUCUAUGUUCCUUGGAACAGGACGUCACAGAGGGUGAGAAUCCCGUGCGAUGAGAUGUCUGAUUCUAUGUAAAGUGCUUUCGAAGAGUCGAGUUGUUUGGGAAUGCAGCUCUAAGUGGGUGGUAAAUUCCAUCUAAAGCUAAAUAUUGGCGAGAGACCGAUAGCGAACAAGUACAGUGAUGGAAAGAUGAAAAGAACUUUGAAAAGAGAGUGAAAAAGUACGUGAAAUUGUUGAAAGGGAAGGGUUUGAGAUCAGACUUGGUAUUUUGUAUGUCUUGCUUUCGGGUGGGGCCUCUACAGUUUACUGGGCCAGCAUCGGUUUGGACGGUAGGAUAAUGACAUUGGAAUGUGGCACCACUUCGGUGGUGUGUUAUAGACUUUGUUGAUACUGCCUGUCUAGACCGAGGACUGCGUCUUUGACUAGGAUGCUGGCAUAA
rnacentral:rRNA from 2 species